AGAGUUUGAUCCUGGCUCAGGACGAACGCUGGCGGCGUGCCUAACACAUGCAAGUCGAACGGAACUGUUUUGAAAGAUUUCUUCGGAAUGAAUUUGAUUUAGUUUAGUGGCGGACGGGUGAGUAACGCGUGAGUAACCUGCCUUCAAGAGGGGGAUAACAUUCUGAAAAGAAUGCUAAUACCGCAUGACAUAUCAGAAUCACAUGAUUUUGAUAUCAAAGAUUUUAUCGCUUGAAGAUGGACUCGCGUCCGAUUAGUUAGUUGGUGAGGUAACGGCUCACCAAGACCGCGAUCGGUAGCCGGACUGAGAGGUUGAACGGCCACAUUGGGACUGAGACACGGCCCAGACUCCUACGGGAGGCAGCAGUGGGGGAUAUUGCGCAAUGGGGGCAACCCUGACGCAGCAACGCCGCGUGAAGGAUGAAGGUUUUCGGAUUGUAAACUUCUUUUAUUAAGGACGAAAAAUGACGGUACUUAAUGAAUAAGCUCCGGCUAACUACGUGCCAGCAGCCGCGGUAAUACGUAGGGAGCAAGCGUUGUCCGGAUUUACUGGGUGUAAAGGGUGCGUAGGCGGCUUUGCAAGUCAGAUGUGAAAUCUAUGGGCUCAACCCAUAAACUGCAUUUGAAACUGUAGAGCUUGAGUGAAGUAGAGGCAGGCGGAAUUCCCCGUGUAGCGGUGAAAUGCGUAGAGAUGGGGAGGAACACCAGUGGCGAAGGCGGCCUGCUGGGCUUUAACUGACGCUGAGGCACGAAAGCGUGGGUAGCAAACAGGAUUAGAUACCCUGGUAGUCCACGCUGUAAACGAUGAUUACUAGGUGUGGGGGGACUGACCCCUUCCGUGCCGCAGUUAACACAAUAAGUAAUCCACCUGGGGAGUACGACCGCAAGGUUGAAACUCAAAGGAAUUGACGGGGGCCCGCACAAGCAGUGGAGUAUGUGGUUUAAUUCGAAGCAACGCGAAGAACCUUACCAGGUCUUGACAUCCCGAUGACCGGCCCGUAACGGGGCCUUCUCUUCGGAGCAUUGGAGACAGGUGGUGCAUGGUUGUCGUCAGCUCGUGUCGUGAGAUGUUGGGUUAAGU
rnacentral:rRNA from 1 species